UACGAAGGACCCAAGCGUUAUCCGGAUUUAUUGGGUUUAAAGGGUGCGUAGGCGGGUUAUUAAGUCAGUGGUGAAAGCCUUCAGCUUAACUGGAGAAUUGCCAUUGAUACUGAUGAUCUUGAGUAUGAUUGAGGUGGGCGGAAUGUGUCAUGUAGCGGUGAAAUGCUUAGAUAUGACACAGAACACCGAUUGCGAAGGCAGCUCACUAAGCCAUAACUGACGCUGAUGCACGAAAGCGUGGGGAGCAAACAGG
rnacentral:rRNA from 1 species